GACAUCUGCAGCCUGUGGCCACCCAUCACCCCGCCAGCUGCCAUGGACGUGCCCUGGCCCCUGGGGUGGAUUCUACUUCUCUUGGGAAGCCCCCUUACCCAAGCUGAGCCUCUGUACAUCCUGGUGACCCCCCCAAGUCCUGAGGGUCGGCAGCCCGGAGAACAUCCACACUCAGGCCCAUUCGGACUCCAGGCAGCCCCUCACGAGGACGCUUGAGGUGAACCUCACAGUGUAGGACUUCCCCAAGAAGAAGACGGUGUUGGCAAGGAGCCAGCUCAUUCUCUCUCCAGGGAGCAAUUUUAUGGGCCAGGCACCUGUGACGAGCAGCAAUAUAUCAUCAUCCGGGCAACUCAGGCACCCACUUCUGUCUCCUCAUUCAUGGAGAAGAUGGUGCUGGUGGCUCCUCAUGCAGGCGACAUCUUCGUCCAGACAGACAAGACCAUCUACACCCUGAGCACUUGGGUACAGCCCUGAGGCCCUUGGCCUGGGGUGGUCACUGGCUCUCAUCCCUAGUCUCUCCCAAUGUCUGAGAUACUUAUGUCCCCUAAAACCUUCUCCACCUCCCAAGAUUUCUCUCUGCAUAAAUGGUCCCCCCACAGCCCAAGAUCCAAACUCUCUCUCUCCCACUCUCCCUCCUCUACCCAAUACUCAGAGUCCUCCUUCUCCCCCAGUUCAGUACCCGGUGUUCACUGUGAACCACAGGAUGGACCCUGUGACCAGGAUAUUUACUCUGGACAUCAAGGUGGUCUUUCCUGAUAGGGGGUGAAUCUGGGACGCGGGUUACACGAUGUGCUGAAGUCCCCCAGGGCUGUCCCAGAGGGCAGUCACCAGCGCCAGCCCCUGUCCCCACAGAACCCCAAUGGAAUCACUGUGACUAGCCAGGGUGUGUUGGCCAAGGAUGGCUUUUACAGCUCCUUCACCUCCCAGAGCUUGUCAGGUGCCCUUGUCAGGUCUGGGAGCCCGAGAGGUCUCAAGGGAAGCUGUCAUUCUCCAUCUCCAUC